ensembl:lncRNA
GAUGCAGCAGCAGAUGUCUCUCUGAUAAAAGAUAUAUUCUUCUGUUAUUUCAUGCCAAAGAGGCCAUCGUCUUUUCACAAAUAAUUACGCUGUGGGACUGAAGAUAUCAAAAUUUCCAGAGACUCCAGAAUGAAAACCAAGCUCUGAUGGAGGAGAACCAAGCCCUGAGGGAAUGCAAUGCACAAGCAGCUUCGGAUGACAGCGGCUCAAUUCAAGAGCAGGUGAAGCAAGUAGGGACAAUUUUGAAGACGUUUGCUCUCACUGGGCAAUCAGGUGCGUUUCCUGAAAGGAGCAUCUGACCGUGAAGGCAGAAAAAGGCGGCGCACAGCUGAGAAGGACCCACAGCCGACCCCUUAAACCUAGGCUGACUACUGACACCCCAGCAUCACUGACAACUGGAACACUUUCUUUAUCCUGCAGUCAGUAACAUCAAGAAGCCAGAAGUGCCAGACUACACUCACCAAAUCCACCCUGUUUUUUUUUGUAUUUUAACCUUCGUAUUGGCUUAUUUCAUUCCGUCUUAACGAUUCUAUUAUAGUUUGUAAAUCCUAUUUCAUACCUGUUACUUGAUAUUGCACAUUAACUAGUACCAAAAUUCUAUUUUCAUUUCAUCAGUGUGCUUAACUGUUAUUCUAUAAAUAAUAUCUUGGAAAUACUAUUUCAUACCUCUGAUACUUGAUAUUGCACAUUACCUGGUACCAAAUAUUCUACUUACUCUGUUUUUAACAUCAGCAUUUUUCAUUCCGUCACUGUGCUUAACUGUUAUUCUAUUGUUAAAUAUAGCUUGUAAAUCCUUGUGCCACAGGUCCGCAUUGCAGUUAUAAUGGUCUGUUCUACUACUGUUUUUACCUCUGUAUUUUUAUUUAAAUAUAUAUGUCAAGUUUUGUUUAUCACAGAUACAAGAGACACAGAUCUUAUUGCAGCACGGUGUAAAUCUUGUGCUCCAGGUCAGCAAUGCCAUUAUAAUGGUCUAUUCUACUCUAGAACUUUACUCUAAAUUAUUACCACUUUUCCUAUUGUUAGAAAUGGCUUGAAAAUGUGAUGUUAUACCUCGAUUUAUUUGGUAUCCUGCACAUUCUUUGGUACCAAAUAUUCUCAUUACUUGUUAUGUUUACUGGUAAUUAUUUUCAUCCCAGAGCUGACCUCUUUAUAUUAUUAACAAUUAUUGUGUUUGUGUUAUAAUUUGCUUGUAUG